UUUCUAAGCUCCACUCUAAGACACUGCUCCUCAUUCUCAACUAUUUGCUUAUUUCUAAGCUCCACUCUAAGACACUGCUCCUCAUUUUCGACUAUUUCCGUCUUUCUAAGCUCCACUCUAAUACGCUGCUUCCCGAUUCUAUGAUUUAUUUCUAAGCUCCACUCUAAGACAUUGCUCCCCAUUCUCGACUAUUUGCUUUCUUUCUAAUCUCCACUCUAAGACGCUUGCUUCUCGAUUCUAAGCUUUCUUUCUAAUCUCCAUUCUAAGACACUGCUCCUCAUUCUCGAGUAUUUGCUUUCUUUAUAAGCUCCACUCUAAGGCACUGCUUCUCAUUCUCGACUUUUUUCUUUCUUUAUAAGCUUCACUCUAAUAGAAUAGCUUAAAAAGUUCAGAAAGUCAUUCCAAGAUGCUGACGAGAGUGUAAUAAAGCAUAGAAAUUUAAGCUAUUCGUCACUCUAAUCU
rnacentral:lncRNA from 1 species